AUGGCCUAUCGGAAUUCCAAGACUGGCGGCCCAGUAGGGACCUCCCAGCUGGCGUCCGUGGGGCUUCACAUUCCCAGGCCACGUUGCCUGACUCCUGCCAGUCAGGGCGCUGCAUUAAAACGUGUUCCAGGGCCUCAUCCCAACUGGGACGCCUCUUCCUCGCUGACACCAUGCUCACGGGUGCGCGCGUUUGUGUCCCGGUUUCGCAUCAGCAGCCCCAGGGCGGGCCUGGCGGGGUGUCCCCUCACCCUGAGCCCGAGCCCGGGUAGGCUGCGCCCUCGCCCCUCCUCCCCGUACUUCCUCCCACCGUGUCCCCGACAGCGUCUGCUUGGCCGUCCCGGUCCCGAAUCAUUCUGGAUCGCAGAAAUCCCCCUGUGGGCGUCUAGAGGGCCAGCGUGGCCCUGUCGGGUGCGCGGAAAAACCGCUGAGGGUGGAAGCCGCUCCUCGGCGCAGGCGCCUCCGCCUCUGCCGCCCCCUAGUGCCCGCGCCGAGACCGCGCGCGAACCCCACCGGAGGUGGGGUUUCAUGUUGCCCAGGCUGGUCUCAAACUCCUGGGCUCACGCAAUCGCCCUGCCUCGGCCUCCCAAAGUGCUGGGAUUAUCUGGCUCUCUUCCUGAGAAAUGCCUUGCUCUAGGUUGAAGAACUUUUGAUUCCUAAUACAUGGAUGGUUUUCCAAAGUACAGCAGAUAAAGGCCACGUUGGCAGCUCAUGUAAAGGUCAUGUUCCAGGUCUUGGCUACUUCACCUAUAACAGGCAUGGACUCCGCAGAGCCUCAGGCCAAAGAAUGUGCGUCAUAGGGAUAUAUCCCUUGUUGUGUUCACAUCUCCCUGGGGGUUGGGCUACAUUGUUGGGUAACGUAAUGGGUCUGCUCUCCUCAUGUAAUAAGGCAUACCCAUAUUACUAAUGCAGGGCGAGAUUUCUUAUAAUUCCAUGCCUUUCCAGUUGUGGUUAUUUUAUUAAUACCUGCAGGUUUUCCUUAUUUUUAGAACUGCAAAUCUAUAGAAACAAACAAACCCCAAACCCAACAAACAUGUUUCAGAGACAUUAAGCUUAGAGAGAGGAGGAAAAAUAGCACCCUGUUUGAUUGAGGCUCUGGGGAGAGAGGGACUCAGGCAAAAGGGUUUGUGUGGCAGGUGGUCUAGUUUUGGGUGGGUUGAGCAGACUUAGGACCAAAAGCGGCACUGAUUCUAGCUGGCAGCAGACCUCUCUGUAUUUCCAACCAGGACUUCCUCCUUUAUCUUGGCAGGGAUGCUUUACUUCUGAGUUGUACAUUUAACCUCAGCAUCAGUUUCUUCACCUGCAAAGUGGGAUAAUACUUGCUCUGUAAGGGAACAAUUCCCCCUUUAGUGACGGCCUUUGCAAUGGAAAGAAAAGGGAGAGACCUUUCAAGCUAUCUUGGCUCCGUCUCCAUGUCUUUGUUAUUGCUGAUGUGGGUGUCUGGGGCAUGCUGCUGUCCCCCCGCCUUUUUUUUUUGAGAUAGACUCUCAUUCUGUUGCCUAUGCUGGAGUGCAGUGGCACAAUCUUGGUUCACCGCAACCUCUGCCUCCUGGGUUCAAGAGAUUCUCCUGCCUCAGUCUCCUGAGUAGCUGGGAUUACAGGCGCCCUCCACCACAACUGGCCAAUUUUGUUUUUGUUUUUUGAGACAGAGUUUCACUCCGUCACCAGGCGCCAGGCUGGAGUGCAGUGGUGUGACUUCGGCUCACGGCAACCUCCGCCUCCCAGGUUCAAGCAAUUCUCCUGCCUCAGCCUCCCGAGUAGCUGGGACUACAGGCGCGUGCCACCACGCCCAGCUAAUUGUUUUUUUUUGUGUUUUUAGUAGAGAUAGGGGUUUCACCAUGUUGGUCAGGCUGGUCUCAAACUCCUGACCUAGUGAUGUGCCUACCUCGGCCUCCCAAAGUGCUGGGAUUACAGGCGUGAGCCACCACGCCCGACCUGCUCUCCCUUUUACACUUUUGAUCUUAGUACUGUUAAGACUCUCUACUUACUUUUAUUAUUUUUUUGUUACAAAUAGCAAAAUCUGUUUCAGAGUAGCUUAAGCCCCAAAAGGAAUUGAUUGAGAGCAGUUCUGGGGACCUCAGGGGCUCAUGGACUUUGUCCCUGGAGUGUGGACAGGGACAGCACCACUCGCCAGAGCUGCUCUUGACCUCUUGACCUCUGUUGCAGAGAGCUAAGAUCGCGCCGCUGCACUACAACCUGGGUGACAGAGCGAGACUCCAUCUAAAGAAAGAAAAAAAAAAAAAAAAAGAAAAAAAUCAGGUUUACUGAGAUGUAAUUUAAAUACGGUGAAAUUUAUCCCGCGCAGCUGUACAGCUGCUUAUGAGUUUUUUUUUUGUAUUUGUUUUUCUUUUGUGCUUAUGAGUUUUGACAAACAUAUUCAUGGUGUCACUACCACUACAAUCAAGAUAAGGAAUAUUUCUAUUACCCCAAAAAGGUUCCUCAUGGACACAGUUUUUUUCAAGUCACUCCUGGUUAAUGUGUAUCCUUAGGGUAAUAAAACAAUGUUAAUUCUUGAAUUGGAUUUAGGCUGUUUAAAUAUUGCUCAUUGGAUUGUACCUUGGGGUGGGAGAAUUUACUCUGGCAAUUUAGAAAAGGAAAAGGUUGGGGCUGCCAAGUGAAAGCAGACGUUGGUGAAUAUUAUUUAUUGGGAUUCAAAAGGAUACAUCAGCCAGAUUGAUAUAUGAAUGCUAAUCAAGGGUUGAUUUAGCAAGAUCUACUAAGGAAAUAAUAUCUUGUACAGUGUUAAUCACGUUUUAUUUUUCAUAAUUGAGUUGAAUAUGUAAAGUGAUUAGAAUAGUCACUGCCACUUAAUACCACUUCAGAAUUACCUGUUUUUCUUAAUAUUGGUGUAAUUGACAAUUUAUUUCCAAGCUCCAUCUACCUUUUGGCUGGCCAGAAUGAGCUGUUAAAGAGUCCUACUGGUGAGACUAUCUCAGGUUUCUCCAACAAAGUGAUCAUCAUUGUUAUUUUACAUAAUCUCCUAGGGAUUUGUCCCUCUUUCCUAUUACAUUGUUUUCUGGGAAAGCUGAAUUCCGGAAGUUCUUAAGAGCUUUUCCAGCUCCCAGAGUUGCAAUGGUAAGUUCAAAUAACAUGGCCAGGGGCAGGAGAAAUCACCGUAGAAUCUUUCUUGAUUCUCUGUAUUUCCCAUUAAUGCUUCAUAACCUUCCACCUUGAUACUUUCCCCUCCACAUACCCCGAUAUUCAAAAUAGCCCUUCUUAUAAGAUUGGGUUUUCUUAAGUAAAAGUUGCCAUUGAUCUUACACCCCAAAGUUUCUGGAAUUCCUAAACCUUGUCUUUUGUCUAAACUGUUUUAACUUGAGUGCAGAGUGUCUCCAGACACAGGAUGGAACAGAUCUGGAGGGAAGAACACUGGGGCUGUUUGUCCUGUCAUAUGAGGGGAGGAUCUGGUUUUAAUGCAAGCUCUUUAAGCUUGGAGAAUGAAUCAAAGGUGUGGAAGUACUGUGUUUCUGUAUGUACUAAGAGAAAUGUGUUCUUAAAGUUUAUAAGCUUUUUGUCUUGGCAUUCCCCUUUGGCUCAGUUGCUAGCACUGUUAAAUUGCACAAGUUGAGGGUUUGCUAAAGUUAUUGCUAAAUUUGUAACUUCCAAAUCUGCUAAAAUUGGACUAUAUUUGGUGCUUUCUUUAACCUGUUUUGUAAUCUCAUUAAUUUUCCAGUGAGCCCAUUGUGCUGUUGGGAUUCUGAUAUCCCCAAAUCUAACGAGCCACGACCAUACACUUUAGCUCCAUUCCCUCUGGCUUCUCAAAUUCUUUUUCAUUUUUCCAAUUCUCUAGCACUUUCUCUUAUAGGUGGUUCUGCUUUAACUUAAAAUGAAAUGAAAACUUCAGCCUCUUGGUUGCACCAGCUGCUAGCAUUUUAAGUGCUCAGGAGCCACCUGUGGCUGGUGGCGGCUCGGUUGGAUAGCUGGAUAGAGAACAUUUCCCCAACAGCAGAGCGUUGUAUGAGGCAGCACUGCUCGAGGUAUGGCUCUCUGAUGAUCACACCCACUUUACGGAUAUUAGGACCCUCUAACUAUGUAUCCCUUCUUUCUUCCGGAUAUGAUGUUGAAGGCUUUCCCUCAGUUUGUAUCUUUUAACAAAUAUUUGAGAGUCUUUAUUGAUCAAUCCCUCAUACAUCUCUGCAACAAAAACAUAUAUAUUCAUUUAAUUAUUUUUUUAAAUGGACAAAAAUCGAAUCUAUGGUAUACAAUAUGAUGUAUUGAUUUAUAUGUACAUUGUUUAAUGGCUAAAUCAAGCUCAUUACCUUACAUUUUUUUCUGUGUUUUGUGAGAACACUUAAAGUUACUCACUUAGCAGUGUUCAAGUACACAGUAUAUUGUCGUCAACUGCAGUCACCAUGUUGUACGACACAUAUCUUGAAUUUAUUCCUCCUGUCUAACUGACAUUUUGUAUUCGUUGAUGUUAGUUCUUUUUUUUUUUUUUUUUUUUACAUUCAACUCAUUAAAAAUGUAAUUAGGUCACAGGUAGGAGGUUUCUUUGCAAUUUUGCAAUGCUUAGUGAUUUUUACAGCUGCUGCUAAAAGCUUAGUGAAAUCACAGAGACCUAAGGGCUGCCAAAACCUGUGCAUUUGGUCAUAUUUAUUUUGACUCGUGUUUUUUGUGUGUGUGCCUAACCUUUUCUCUAACUUGUUUGUAAAGAAUUCUGGAGUAUUCCCAAAUUGUUGACGAAUUCCUGUUUCCUGCUCUAAGUCUAGAUUUCAGUGUGGGCCACUAGGUGGAGAUAGGAUCCUGUCUCUGUAGCCUUAACAUGAUUUUGAAUUCCAAUGCUUUGCAAUGGAUAAUCUGGCCUUUUCCUCCACAGCUUUAAAACAUUUCUUUUGUGAAUUCAAAACAACCCACAGUUUUAAUUCUCUGUAUUCAAUAAAAAUUAUUGAAUAACUGUAAAUUAUAAGUGAAUAAUUGUAAAUUAUUUACUUACAAUCCUUCCAUAUGAAAAUCCUCUACUCCCAACUUGACUCAAUGGUGAGAAAUCUGAGUUGACUCCGCUUUCUGACUGUACUCUGAUGGUACCAUGUUAGGAGAAAUUCUUGUCAAACUUUAAGUUAAUCUACUAGUUCUUUUCAUAAAGCAAAAGGUGAAAUGUUGAGGACUCUGAGUCAGCCAGCAAUCAAAAUGACUUUUAAACUAAGUCCCUUUUAACUAUGACUUAAGGCAAUAUUAAAUUAAUCGCUGGGUAUUAUAAACACAGGUUUCCCAACCCUCUGCUGAUGACGUUUGCUUGUUUGUGUAUUUUCUUCUUCUCAAAAUUCCAAAUAGUGAAGUCUCUCUUAGGCAAAGGAGGCUCAUUCGUCGUCAAAUUCCCUGCAUGUAAAAUUCUCUGGGUACAAAAUAGAUUGCUUCUCUCUUAUUUUUCUUUUUCUU
ensembl:lncRNA